rfam:Ictidomys tridecemlineatus contig051051, whole genome shotgun sequence.
GGGAGUGUAGCUCUGUGGUAGAGUGCUUGCCUAGCAUGCAAGGGGCCCUGGGUUCAAUCCCCAGCACUGCAA